rnacentral:rRNA from 1 species
UAGGGAAUUUUGGACAAUGGGCGAAAGCCUGAUCCAGCAAUGCCGCGUGUGUGAAGAAGGCCUUCGGGUUGUAAAGCACUUUUGUCCGGAAAGAAAUCCUUGGCUCUAAUACAGUCGGGGGAUGACGGUACCGGAAGAAUAAGCACCGGCUAACUACGUGCCAGCAGCCGCGGUAAUACGUAGGGUGCAAGCGUUAGUCGGAAUUACUGGGCGUAAAGCGUGCGCAGGCGGUUUGCUAAGACCGAUGUGAAAUCCCCGGGCUCAACCUGGGAACUGCAUUGGUGACUGGCAGGCUAGAGUAUGGCAGAGGGGGGUAGAAUUCCACGUGUAGCAGUGAAAUGCGUAGAGAUGUGGAGGAAUACCGAUGGCGAAGGCAGCCCCCUGGGCCAAUACUGACGCUCAUGCACGAAAGCGUGGGGAGCAAACAGGAUUAGAUACCCUGGUAGUCCACGCCCUAAACGAUGUCAACUAGUUGUUGGGGAUUCAUUUCCUUAGUAACGUAGCUAACGCGUGAAGUUGACCGCCUGGGGAGUACGGUCGCAAGAUUAAAACUUAAAGGAAUUGACGGGGUCAUAGCUGUUUCCU